CAAUAGCGUAUAUUAAAGUUGUUGCGGUAAAAAAGCUCGUAGUUGGAUUUCUACCGAAGAUAGCCGGUCGGGUCUUCGACCUUGUAUCUGGUUUUGUCUUUGGUAUCCUCAUAGGGAACGUUUCUGCGCUUUAUUGCGUGGUGCGGUAUCUAUGACUUUUACUUUGAGGGAAUUAGAGUGUUCACGGCAGGCAAACGCCUUGAAUAUAUUAGCAUGGAAUAAUAACAUAGGAUCUUCGUCCUAUUUUGUUGGUUUCUAGGGCUAAGAUAAUGAUUAAUAGGGAUAAUUGGGGGCAUCUGUAUCAACGCGUCAGAGGUGGAAUUCUUGGAUUGCGUUGCGACAAACUACUGCGAAAGCAUUUGCCAAGGAUGUUUUCAUUGA
rnacentral:rRNA from 1 species